rnacentral:rRNA from 1 species
CGUGGUCACUCCUACGGGAGGCAGCAGUGGGGAAUCUUGGACAAUGGGGGCAACCCUGAUCCAGCCAUGCCGCGUGAGUGAUGAAGGCCUUAGGGUCGUAAAGCUCUUUCGCCUGUGAUGAUAAUGACAGUAGCAGGUAAAGAAACCCCGGCUAACUCCGUGCCAGCAGCCGCGGUAAUACGGAGGGGGUUAGCGUUGUUCGGAAUUACUGGGCGUAAAGCGCGCGUAGGCGGAUUAGUCAGUUAGAGGUGAAAUCCCAGGGCUCAACCCUGGAACUGCCUUUAAUACUGCUAGUCUUGAGUUCGAGAGAGGUGAGUGGAAUUCCGAGUGUAGAGGUGAAAUUCGUAGAUAUUCGGAGGAACACCAGUGGCGAAGGCGGCUCACUGGCUCGAUACUGACGCUGAGGUGCGAAAGUGUGGGGAGCAAACAGGAUUAGAUACCCUGGUAG